AUGAACGCUAGCUACAGGCUUAACACAUGCAAGUCGAGGGGCAGCAUUUCAGUUUGCUUGCAAACUGGAGAUGGCGACCGGCGCACGGGUGAGUAACACGUAUCCAACCUGCCGAUAACUCGGGGAUAGCCUUUCGAAAGAAAGAUUAAUACCCGAUGGUAUAAUCAGACCGCAUGGUCUUGUUAUUAAAGAAUUUCGGUUAUCGAUGGGGGUGCGUUCCAUUAGGCAGUUGGUGAGGUAACGGCUCACCAAACCUUCGAUGGAUAGGGGUUCUGAGAGGAAGGUCCCCCACAUUGGAACUGAGACACGGUCCAAACUCCUACGGGAGGCAGCAGUGAGGAAUAUUGGUCAAUGGACGGGAGUCUGAACCAGCCAAGUAGCGUGAAGGAUGACUGCCCUAUGGGUUGUAAACUUCUUUUAUAUGGGAAUAAAGUUUUCCACGUGUGGAAUUUUGUAUGUACCAUAUGAAUAAGGAUCGGCUAACUCCGUGCCAGCAGCCGCGGUAAUACGGAGGAUCCGAGCGUUAUCCGGAUUUAUUGGGUUUAAAGGGAGCGUAGGUGGACAGUUAAGUCAGUUGUGAAAGUUUGCGGCUCAACCGUAAAAUUGCAGUUGAUACUGGCUGUCUUGAGUACAGUAGAGGUGGGCGGAAUUCGUGGUGUAGCGGUGAAAUGCUUAGAUAUCACGAAGAACUCCGAUUGCGAAGGCAGCUCACUGGACUGCAACUGACACUGAUGCUCGAAAGUGUGGGUAUCAAACAGGAUUAGAUACCCUGGUAGUCCACACAGUAAACGAUGAAUACUCGCUGUUUGCGAUAUACAGUAAGCGGCCAAGCGAAAGCGUUAAGUAUUCCACCUGGGGAGUACGCCGGCAACGGUGAAACUCAAAGGAAUUGACGGGGGCCCGCACAAGCGGUGGAGUAUGUGGUUUAAUUCGACGCAACGCGAAGAACCUUACCAGGUCUUGACAUCCGAUGCAUAGCGCAGAGAUGCGUGAAGUCCUUCGGGACAUCGAGACAGGUGGUGCAUGGUUGUCGUCAGCUCGUGCCGUGAGGUGUCGGCUUAAGUGCCAUAACGAGCGCAACCCUUAUCUUUAGUUACUAACAGGUCAUGCUGAGGACUCUAGAGAGACUGCCGUCGUAAGAUGUGAGGAAGGUGGGGAUGACGUCAAAUCAGCACGGCCCUUACGUCCGGGGCUACACACGUGUUACAAUGGGGGGUACAGAAGGCAGCUACCUGGUGACAGGAUGCUAAUCCCAAAAGCCUCUCUCAGUUCGGAUCGAAGUCUGCAACCCGACUUCGUGAAGCUGGAUUCGCUAGUAAUCGCGCAUCAGCCAUGGCGCGGUGAAUACGUUCCCGGGCCUUGUACACACCGCCCGUCAAGCCAUGAAAGCCGGGGGUACCUGAAGUACGUAACCGCAAGGAGCGUCCUAGGGUAAAACUGGUAAUUGGGGCU
rnacentral:rRNA from 1 species